rnacentral:rRNA from 1 species
CGUACUGGUGUUACUGAUUUCUACCUUCUGACGAACCAUCAUGUCAUUAAUUUGGUGUGGUGGGGAAUCAGGACUGUUACUUUGAAAAAAUUAGAGUGUUUAAAGCAGGCUCGCGCUUGAAUACAUUAGCAUGGAAUAAUGAAAUAGGACGUUGAUCCUAUUUUGUUGGUUUCUAGGAUUGACGUAAUGAUUAAUAGGGAUAGUUGGGGGCAUUAGUAUUCAAUUGUCAGAGGUGAAAUUCUUGGAUUUAUUGAAGACUAACUACUGCGAAAGCAUUUGCCAAGGAUGUUUUCAUUAAUCAAGAACGAAAGUUAGGGGAUCGAAGACGAUCAGAUACCGUCGUAGUCUUAACCAUAAACUAUGCCGACUAGGGAUCGGAUGAUGUUAUUUUUAAUGACUCAUUCGGCGCCUUACG